rnacentral:piRNA from 1 species
UGGCAAUGAGUGGUACCAAUUAAAAUU